UCGCAUAUCAGUGUGACAGGCUGAAUAUUGACCACCUGACCAUGGUUCAGAGAGAUGAAGUUUUAUAUAGCACAGUGUCUGACCAGUUAUGUUGAAAUACCAACAAA
rnacentral:sRNA from 1 species